GCUGGGUUUGGUGGCACAAGCCUGUAGUCCCAGUUACUUGGGAAGGUGAGGUGGGAGGAUUGCUUAAGACCAGGAGUUCCAGACAGGCCUGGGCAAUAGUGAGACCCUGUCUAAA
rnacentral:sRNA from 1 species